GACGAACGCUGGCGGCGUGCCUAAUACAUGCAAGUCGAACGCUUCUUUCCUCCCGAGUGCUUGCACUCAAUUGGAAAGAGGAGUGGCGGACGGGUGAGUAACACGUGGGUAACCUACCCAUCAGAGGGGGAUAACACUUGGAAACAGGUGCUAAUACCGCAUAACAGUUUAUGCCGCAUGGCAUAAGAGUGAAAGGCGCUUUCGGGUGUCGCUGAUGGAUGGACCCGCGGUGCAUUAGCUAGUUGGUGAGGUAACGGCUCACCAAGGCCACGAUGCAUAGCCGACCUGAGAGGGUGAUCGGCCACACUGGGACUGAGACACGGCCCAGACUCCUACGGGAGGCAGCAGUAGGGAAUCUUCGGCAAAGGACGAAAGUCUGACCGAGCAACGCCGCGUGAGUGAAGAAGGUUUUCGGAUCGUAAAACUCUGUUGUUAGAGAAGAACAAGGACGUUAGCAACUGAACGUCCCCUGACGGUAUCUAACCAGAAAGCCACGGCUAACUACGUG
rnacentral:rRNA from 1 species